AAGAAUAUAGUUUAAUUGGUAAUUACAAGAUUCUUACUCUGAUUGAUGUUAGUUCGAGUCUAACUAUUCCUU
rnacentral:tRNA from 1 species